rnacentral:rRNA from 1 species
CCUACGGGAGGCAGCAGUGGGGAAUAUUGCACAAUGGGGGAAACCCUGAUGCAGCGACGCCGCGUGAGUGAAGAAGUAUUUCGGUACGUAAAGCUCUAUCAGCAGGGAAGAAAAUGACGGUACCUGACUAAGAAGCCCCGGCUAACUACGUGCCAGUAGCCGCGGUAAUACGUAGGGGGCAAGCGUUAUCCGGAUUUACUGGGUGUAAAGGGAGCGUAGACGGCAGCGCAAGUCUGGAGUGAAAUCCCAUGGCUUAACCAUGGAACUGCUUUGGAAACUGUGCAGCUAGAGUGCAGGAGAGGUAAGCGGAAUUCCUAGUGUAGCGGUGAAAUGCGUAGAUAUUAGGAGGAACACCAGUGGCGAAGGCGGCUUACUGGACUGUAACUGACGUUGAGGCUCGAAAGCGUGGGGAGCAAACAGGAUUAGAUACCCGGGUAGUC